rnacentral:rRNA from 1 species
UACGUAGGCAGCGAGCGUUGUUCGGAGUUACUGGGCGUAAAGGGUGUGUAGGUGGCGCGCUAAGUCGGGUGUGAAAUUUCGGAGCUUAACUCCGAAACUGCAUUCGAUACUGGCGUGCCUGAGGACUGGAGAGGAGACUGGAAUUUACGGUGUAGCAGUGAAAUGCGUAGAUAUCGUAAGGAAGACCAGUGGCGAAGGCGGGUCUCUGGACAGUUCCUGACACUGAGACACGAAGGCCAGGGGAGCAAACGGG